GUUACAAAGACCAAACCAGCAUGGCCAAUCUAUAGAAUAGAAAAAUUUGUUAAAACCAGGGCUCCCCAAAUAAUAUGAAGCAUAGGCGUAGGAAGCGGGGGGGGGGACAUGUGCCCCCCAAUAUUGGAGAGAGUCACAUUCGUCCCCCCCAAUAAUUUCACCGCUGUUGCGAAGAAUUUUAAAAUCUUCCACUCGCGUGCUUUUAUUUUAUUUAUUUUAUCACAACAGCGCAUUCAGCAGAGCGCUUCCUCCCCCUCCCCCCUCUGAACGGCUCAGAGUAAAGGCAGCAGCAGACGGAGUCAGAAACUCCGUUUGAAUGAGGUAAACUGUCUGUCAGGAAUGUUGCCAUGAAUAUCGCUCGUUUAUAACAUCUUGUUGUCAGUUUACUUUCAUAUAUAGAACUAAAUCUUUUAGGUUAAGCCGUUUUAAUUCUGGGAUAGUCACAUGUCCAAAAUUUUACUGCUAACUUUGUUUAAAAGUUAGCUAGUCUAGUCACAAUGAUUUAGAAUGAGACUGAAACAGCAGCGAAAUUAGCCUUUUUAUUAUUUAAAGUGAGCAACAUCUGAUCAUACUCGACCACUUAACAUGUAUUUAUAUAUUAUAUUAUUUAGAUAUUUAGGAGAACAGCAGUGCUAGAAUGAUGUUGAAGAAAGGUGAAGAAGCUCUGGUGAGGUCUUCAUUUAGUUUAUUGAAAUAUGUAUUAACUGUUUUUAAUUUUUAAAUAAACUAUUUAUGAGAGGAGCAGGUCAGGGAAGACAUAAGAGAGCCAGGUGGAGUUUCAGUGUAAAGAUAUAAAAUUAUAUUAAUUAAUUAUAUUAAAAAUUAUAUUAAUUACAGGAGACAAUAAAAAAAGUGCUUGAGGAGAGGUUUAAAAAUAAAUUAGUGAAAAUUUUUGCUACACAGUAAAAAGGGUUGAGAUGUAUAAUAAUGCAUACAUCUGAAAAUUAAGUUGUUUAAAUUCUCAUUCUGUAU